rnacentral:rRNA from 1 species
AUUGAACGCUGGCGGCAGGCCUAACACAUGCAAGUCGAACGAGUGGCGGACGGGUGCGUAAUGUCUGGGAAACAGCCUGAUGGCUGGGGAAAACUCCUGGAAACGGUAGCUAAUACCGCUUACCAUUCGAUGUUACCAGAGUGCAUUCGCUUUUUGGUGGGGUAACGGAUAACCAAGGCGACGAUCCCUAGCUGGUCUGAGAGGAUGACCAGCCACACGGGACCUGGGACACGGGCCAGACUCCUACGGGAGGCAGCAGGGGGGAAUAUUGCACAAUGGGCGCAAGACGGAUGCAGCCAUGCCGCGUGUAUGAAGAAGGCCUUCGGGUUGUAAAGUACUGUCAGCGGGGAGGCGUUACCAGCAGAAGAAGCACCGGCUAACUCCGUGCCAGCAGCCGCGGUAAUAC